rnacentral:rRNA from 1 species
CUACGGGUUGCAGCAGUGAGGAAUAUUGCGCAAUGGACGAAAGUCUGACGCAGCCAUGCCGCGUGCAGGAUGACGGCGCUAUGCGUUGUAAACUGCUUUUAUAGGCCAAGAAACCUUCGGACGUGUCCGAAGCUGACGGUAGCAUAUGAAUAAGCACCGGCUAACUCCGUGCCAGCAGCCGCGGUAAUACGGAGGGUGCAAGCGUUAUCCGGAUUUAUUGGGUUUAAAGGGUCCGUAGGCGGAGCAUUAAGUCAGUGGUGAAAGCCGGCAGCUCAACUGUCGAACUGCCAUUGAUACUGGUGAUCUUGAAUACGGUUGAAGUUGGCGGAAUAGGUCAUGUAGCGGUGAAAUGCUUAGAUAUGACCUAGAACACCGAUUGCGAAGGCAGCCAACUAAGCCGUUAUUGACGCUGAGGGACGAAAGCGUGGGGAGCGGACAGGAUUAGAUACCCCCGUAGUC